ensembl:lncRNA
GCCAUGGCCACGCCUGUGGCACCCGGCUGCGCGACGAGCACUUCCUCAAGGGAGGCUGCAGCCAUGGGAUGGGCAAGAGGUUGGACGUGCCCAGGGUUGGAUCGUGUCAGACAAGAAUUCCACGUGGGCGAGGGGCCAGGGGGCUGAGCGUGUGUGGGGAGCGUGAUGAAAACGAAGAACGCUACCCUCGUAUGGACAGAAGUGAGGCUGCAGAAGGUUCUGGGACGUUAAUUGCUGGGAACAGAUUGCAGCUGGAAACCCUCUAAGUGCCAGCUAAAUGCCACAAAGAAAACUCCAUCGGUGUGGGACUCUGGGAACAAAGGCUCCACGUAAACAUCUCCCGAGGAGUGGAAUCUCUGGGUGACUCAAGGACCUCACAUUCAGACACUGAAGUUGUGAAACCUGAAUACCUGAUUAGGCUCUUUAACCGUCUCCUGUGCUCGAUGACAGUGGAAUGUUGACUUACCAAGCAUGAGUCAUCAGCAGCAGUACCUAGGAAAAUACCCAGGUCACCCAAUUACAGCAUUAUCAAUCGCUGCCAUCGCUCUAUAACCCAACCCAAUGAAACUGGAGAAAAUGCCAGCUGGGCUGGGCCGGGAGGAAUCCAGCCCUUGGCGAAGGCCACCUUCCUGGCAGCCGCCUCUGCGGUCAUGCCAAGCCACAAGCCCUGUGUGGUCGAAGUGUGCAGAGGUGUCGGCCCCAUUGCACAGUCAUGGAAACUAAGGCCUACCAGGGUCGAGGCUGCUCCUGCAGCUCCAAACCACGGUAGAGAACCCAAGGCUGCCUGGAAGAGGCGGUGGUCUCAGGUGGCCAAAGCUUGGGGAGAGUGGCUCAGUCAGCCGUGUGCCGCCAUCUUGGCCACUGGAAUGGUUAUCAUUCAUGGAGCAUCUUUUCUGUGCGGGUAGGAGCUGAUGGCUGCACUUGCAUUAUCUCAGCAACCUCAAAGUAGGUGCCAGCAUUGCCGUUUUAUAGAUGGCGGAACUAAGGCCCAAAGAGUACGUCACUUACCUGGGGUUACUCAGCUAAGAAGUGGCAGCACUGGGUUAAACCCAGCCCUAGCUGACUCCAGGUUCACACUCUUUCCCCGGUGACUUGCUGCCUUUCUGUCUUCUGUCAAGCUGAGUGACGGAACCUGCCUCGUCUUGAUGGAUCCGUCUCAAAGUCCUGUGUGUGCACGCUGCACAAACACGCAGCCAUACCGGUCAGCAGAGAUGUGCACUGUGGAGUGGCCGCACCGCGCCUGCCUCUGACAUCCUGUGGGCGGGAGCCUGGCCCGGCCUCGAGAGCCAGAGCGGGGAGGCCAACUCCAGCUGGCCCACCCACGAGCCGGUAGCUCUCCAUGCUCUUAAUCAAUCUUUGGACUCAGCUGUACAUGGAGAGAGGCAAAGAGGCAACGACAACAGCACAGAGAAGACGUCUCCUCUUCCUCGAGCUGUUCGUAUCUUCUUAUGGUGGAAACUUCCCCAUCAGGGAACCAGACCACCCAUCUGCUGGUUGUCAUACUGUGGUUUGGCUGAGUUGCUGUGAUGCUGACAGCUAUGCUACCCGGAUUUCAAAUACCAGAAGGGUCACCCAUGAUGGGCAGGUGUCAGUGGAGCUUCCAGACUAAGACAGACCAGGAAGAAGGACCUGGCCACCCACUUCUGAAAAACCUGGCCAUGAAAAUCCUGUGAGUAGCAGUGGAGCACCGUCUGAAACAGCGUGGGACGUGAGAGGACAGCUGAGAAAGACCAGGCAGGGUCCCCUCUGCUGUGCACAGGGGCACUAGGAGUUGGAAUCAACUUGACAGCACUGACGACGACGACGGUGGAAACUUAGAGAACUGAUUUUAAAUCUCUCCUCUUUUCUAACAAAGCAUGUUAGAGCUCUAAAUUUCCCUUAAACACUGCUUUAGCUUCAUUUCAAGAAUUUUCAUAUAUUAUGUUUUCCUUAUCAUUCAGAUAAACAUUUUUAAUUUGUUUUGUAAUUUCUUCUUUGACCCACAGGUUGGGGUCAAAGUAUGCUUUUUAAUUUUCAAAUAUUCAGAUCUUUUUGGUUACAGAUUUUAACUUAAUCUUGUUAUGGCCAGAAUUUAAUUCUGUAUGUGAAAUCACCCAUACUCUAUGUGAUUUCAAGCAAUAUUCUGUACGAUUUCAAGCAUAGAAUACUACAUUAGGAUAAAAUUUGGGGAUGGCCAGAUGGCAUCCUGGUUAAGUUCGCAUGCUCCACUCUGGCGGCCUGGGGUUGGUGGGUUCAGAUCCUGGGUGUGGACCUACACACUGCCCAUCAAGCCAUGCUGUGGUGGCAUCCCACAGACAAAAUAGAGGAAGAUUGGCACAGCUGUUAGCUCAGGGACAACAUUCCUCACCACAAAGAAAAAAAAUAAGGGAUAAAAUUCUGUGAGCCAAAUGAAACGGAACUACAGAUUCCAGAAGAAAAAGUAAGAGUAUUAUUUCCAAACAUUUAAAGAAAGCACUUCAUUUUUAAAACGGAUUAUGGUGGGUACCACAUUUUUCUAUAUUUCAAUUCUUUUGAAAUCAUUAAAAGGACUGAUGUAAUAGGUUUAUUUUAAAGUAUCUCUACUAUUUGUUGCAAAUUAUAUGAGCUGCAACUAUAAAGACUUCAGAUGAAAACACUUAGAUCUCAACUGGAAACGUUGGUAUAGAUUGUUUUCAAAGUUCUUUUAGGGAGAUGUGAACAAAGUCUGAAGACGACCAGGCUAAAUAAGGAAAGGGCAUCUGGAACGGGGGAUUCCCUUUGUCUUUUAAUACAGGUGAGACUUGAGCCUGUUGGAGGGAGGGAGAGGCUGAAGAUACAAGAGAGAAAGGAUUGCCUGAUAACGAGGUCCCGGGAAGUGGAAUGGACGGCAUCCACUGUGUGUGGAGGGACCAGCAUGGAGGGGUGGGGUCUUUCACUGUAACAGGAGGGAUGGAGGAACAGGUGCGUGCAGAUGCAGGAGCGCUUGAAGGUUUGGUGGUGAGAAAUGGAGGGAGUUCCUGUUUCAAAGCCCUGGUGAAGGAGAAGGUGAAGCCGGAUGGUGGGGAGGAUGAAGGAUUUACAUAGCCGCUGUGGAGUGCCAGACGUGCUGAUGGGGUACUGUCAUCCACUCCCACAGGCCCAUGUGUCUCUUUGGACACUCUGUUUGAUGACUUGAUUAGUGUUUGUCUCCCUCAGCGAACUGGGAAGCGGCACGGGGGCCACGUCUGUUUAGUCCCGGCACCUAGACAGUGCCUGCACUUGCUAUUUGUUGAAGGGAUGGAUGGUUGGCUAGGGUCAUCAAACCACAGCUGAGUGAAAGGCACGUUGUGGUGACCAUUUCCAAGAUUGCAGUGACCUGCUGUGUUUCCUUGAAGUGUCAAAUUCACCUCCCUCCCCCAGUGCCUCUUCUGAGUUGGUGGUCCUGAUACAUGAAACAAUGGCAGGGGCUCCAUAACCCAGGCACUAGUGGAAGGUGCAGAUCAAGGUGGACCCGAGUCCUUGGAAGACUUCCUGGAGGAGGAGGGCAUCAUGGCGAGGCUUGAAGGAAUGAGCAGGACUUAGCAGAACAGUGAGAGGAGGGACCGACAUGGAUCCUGUGGAUGGAAGCAGGGUGGGGCUGGCACCAACUCCAAGCCUAGCCCUGGCUCUGCCCUCUGCUGCCAGAGCAGCAUUCUCUUUGGGUUCUCUUUCCCUCACCCGACUCUGCAGGAGCAGAGCAGGUGCUGUUUGCCAAGCAUCUUCUAAGAGGGAGGCCCCUUACAUCAACCCUCAGUUUUAAUCUUCACCUUAAUUCUUGCUUGAUGGAUAAGAAGUAGCCAGUGAUGCUUGGAGAUGCCCAGUAACUUGCCAAGCUCAGGGAAUUGGGUCCUCAGUUUGCAUCCCUCCACUCUGCCAGGUUGCCUCUUGCCUGGCCUCGGCGCCAUCAGUUCUGCCUCACCCAACAGGUCUGCAGCCACCACAGUGAGAGUCUCCUGCUGGGGGCUCCCCACUGUCUCAGACUGAGGCCCAAAGUCCUCAGGUAGGCACAUGAGGUGCCCAGACAGCUGACCUCGAGCAGCAGUGAAGUACUGAGAGGCUCCCUCGGUGGCUGUUCUCUCCAGGCUCCAGGCUGGUGCACACGCUGGCUCCCUGCCUGGAAUGCCAUACUCAGCAAGCCCGUGUCCACCCUGUGACCUGCUGCCAGAAGUCCCCUCCAGGAAGCCUUUUCUGGACGCCCUUCUGCUCGUGUGAUCGCUUCGGGGCCCAGAGCCCCACCUCCUGUGCCUACACGUGUCUCCCUAGGUUACAAAGGGAGCUAACCGAGGGCAAGGGUGGAAGUGUUUGGUUGAUUCAAACUUCAGCAAAUACUGAGCACCGCGUACUUAGGUUGGUUUGCUAGGGCUGCCCUAAGAAAAUGCCUGGGCUGGUGGCCCGAACAACAGACAUCCAUUCCCUCAGUCUGGAGGCCAGGCCAGGAUCGAGGUGCUGCAGGCUGAGCUUCCUCUGGGGCCUCUCCUCGGAGUGCAGACGGCAGCUCUCUUGCUGCCUCUUCACGUGACUGUUCCUCUGUGCACAAGACCCCACGUCUCUAUGUCCAAAUGUCCUGUUCUAAUGGGGCACUGUCAGAUUGGAUUAGGGCCGACCUUAACGGCCUCAUUUUAAGUUAAUCACCUUUUGUGUGUGUGCGUGUGUGUGAGGAAGACUGUCGCUGAGCUAACAUCUGUGCCAAUCUUUCUCUAUUUUGUAUGUGGGAUGCCACGAGGCCUGACGAGUGGCAUGUAGGUCCGCACCCGGGAUCCGAACCUGUGAACCUCGGGCUGCUGAAGCGGAGUGCACGAACUUAACCACUAUGCCACGGGGCUGGCCCCUCAAUCAUCUCUUUAAAGGCCCCAUCUCCAGAAAGCCACUUUCUGAGGUAUCCCAUGGGUUCUGUUUCUCUGGAGAACCCCAAGGCAAAGUUGAUGCGCCAUCCUCACCAUUUUACAGACAGGGAGACCGAGGCUCCCGGGGACCUACAAGCCGGCCUUCCUCCGGGGGAUGGAGGCUCCGUCACUCCUUUUCUGAGCCCCAAGGGCCUUCACUCACGUCUUCCUCCUGGCCCCUGGGAAAGUAAGCUGCUUGUUGGCCAUUCGUACCUGCCAGUCCGUGACCAUGGCCAGGUCACACGCACACCUCAACCAAGGACUUGCAAAGCUCCCUGCCCUGCCCACGGCGACUACAACAGGGAGACUUUCUGACCCCAACUGCCCAGGGCGCUGGUCUGACUGAAACACAGACAGGAAGGUGAGGUUUCACCUACUACCAUCUUCUGUGUGGCCCUCCUGGGCUCUGGCGAGGAGGCGGCGCUGGGACCUCACGCCCCCCUGGCACUUCUCCCCUCCGUUCCUGUCUCCUGCCCUGCUCCUUUGCUUCUCUUUCCUUCUUGAAUCGUCCUGGCCCUCGUGGCUUUCACCUCCUGUUCUCAUCACACCCAGCUCGAGAAUCUGGUGAUGGGUUGGUUGGCUCCUUCGGCUCUAACCCCUGGCACUUUCUCCAGGCAUAGUAUUGCACGUAUCCUCAAGUUUCCUUACCCUUUUGGUCAUUUAAGCCAAGAAUAUCUGCUGAAACACCCUUGGCCUGCACAAAGGGGGGGGGGGGAGGGGCAGCAAGACAGUCUGCACAGCAGCUGGGAACACUGGAAAGGAGGGGCAGUAAGAUUACAUUCCUCCCCCACAGCAACCAGGCAGAGCUUGACGGUCACAGCUCUCUGGGUGUUGUGGCAGAUCCUAACUGUCUCCACCACUCACUCUCCCUCCUUCCUGUGGUCAGGGACCACUCGCACUCUGAGUGGGGCACAUGGCCACCCAACAAGAGCCUGCAUGGCCCAGUUUCACUUAGGACUAGAAGUGGCCAUGGGGCUAAAUUCUCACCAACAGCACGUGAGUAGGAGACGUGUGCCAAGUCCAGACCACUCCCUUCAAAGGAAACUGCUUGCCCUUCGCUCCUUCCUUCUUCCCAAAGGCAGGAAAAUAGGCAACUUCAAUUGUGCACACAAAGGUGGCACCCUAGGAGAUGGCAAAGCAACGAGAAAGAGAAGCACCGGGCUCCUGCUCACCCUGAGGGCUCUCGGUACCCUCCGCCAGCUUGCCCAUCUGCCUCUAGUAAUGGGCCAGAGGCUAUUAUGUGAAGAGUAAGCUUCACUCUUCUUGGGCUGCUAUAUUUUGGGGUGUCUUUGUAUAGCAGCUCAACUCGCACCCAGGUGAGCAUGUGAAAAUUUUUAUUUAACCCUUACUGUGAAAUGUAAAACACAUGGAGGAAAGGACACAAAAUCUAAAUGUACGGCUCAAUGAACUAUCAGGCGAACAUACCCACAUAACCACCACCUCCCUCUUCCCCAUAGAUAACCACUAUCCUUACUUCCAGUGUAAUCUGUUUAUGGACUUUAGAGUCACACAGUAACCAUCUGUGGGGUAGCUUCUUCCACUCGACACCGUGAACCCCAUCCCUGUGAGUGCGGCUACAGUGCAGAGACUACUGCUGUAGUCUCACGCCACGAGUCUCCUGCCACCUGCGGCAUCACUGCGCUGCCUUCACUUCCUGGCUACCACAAAUAAUGCUCUGAACAUUUAGGUCUCAUGUGUGUCUUUGGGUUCACCUAUGCAUAUAUUUUUGUUAGGUAAAAACCUUGCAGUGGAAUUGCUGGGUCAUACUAUAUGCUUACCUUCAAAUUCAGCAGAUGUCAAACUGUUUCCCAAAGUGGUUUUAGGGUUCUGCCAAUUUAUUCCACCAGCAGUUUGAGUUCUGUCUGCUCCACAUCCUCACCAACAACACACACAUGUAUUACCGGUCUUUGUAUUUUUAGCUAUUCUGGUGGGUAGCAGUGGCAUUUCCUUGUGGUUUUAAUUUGCAUUUCCUUGGUUACUAAUGAGAUUAAGUACCUUUUCACAUGUGUAUUUGUGUGGAGUGUCUGUUCAAGACUUGUGCCCAUUUCCCCAACAUUUUAACUGAUAUGCAGGCAUUCUCUAUAUAUUUGGGAUAUGAAUCCUUUGUCAAUUACGUUUCAAAUGUUGUCUCCCAUUGCCUUUUCACUCUCUUAAUGGUGACUCUUUAAUUUUUAGUCAAGUCCAUUUUAACAGCUUUCGUAAUGUAGGUAAGAAAUCUUAUUCCCCUAUCUAAGGUUGUAAGACUAUUUUCUGGAAGUUUUAGCAUUUUGCUUUUCACAUUCAGAUUUACAAUUCACCUAGGAAUUGACACUUUUAUAUAGUUCAAGGUAGGGUCCAGUUUCCUUUACGCUACAGAUAUUCCAUGGUCUCAGCAGGGUUUGUUGAAAAGAUCACCCUUUCCCCAUGCUCUGAGUGCCACCUUUUAAAAUAUCUCAAGUGUCCAUAUACGAGGGUCUGUCUCUGGCCUCUCCUCUUCUUUGGUCUAUUUAUCUAUCCUUGCAUCAUUACAAUACUGUUUUAAUUAAUCCUGCUUUUACCAGUUUUCAUAUCCAUCUUGUUCUUCUUUCAGAGAGUGUCUUGGCUAUUCUUGGCCUUUUGCAUUUUGUUAUACAUUUUAGAAUUUAUUAAAAAAUUUUAUUUUCUAAAUCCUCAUUGCUGGUAUGUAGAAAAUUCAAUGAACUUUUGUAUAUUAACCUCGUAUUCAGUAAUGUAGCUAUAUUCAUUUAUUCACUCUUAACAUUUUAUGCAUGGACUUUUUCUACAUUAGCUACAUACACAAUCCUAUUGUCCGAGUUCCUUUCCAAUUAUUACCCUUCUACCUCCUUUCUUGAUCUAUUUCAUUGGCUAUGUCACCUUUCCAACAUAAGAGCGAAUGUAAGCGAAUUGUGACUAACCUUGCCUUACUCUUAAUGUCAAAAGGAAAAUCUUCAACAUUUCUUCAUCAAGUCUGACAUUUGCUGUAGGAGUUUUAGUAGAUACUCUUUAUCGGAAUGAGGAACUUCCCUCCUAUUCCUAAUUUGCUAAGAGUUUCUAUUAAUAUCAUGAUUGGAUGUUGAAUUUUAUUGUAAACUUUCUGCAUGACUCAUUAUUUUGUUUUAAUUUGUUAAUGUGAUGAUGUUUACUGACUUUUAAAAAACAUUAUGCUGCUCUCCCAUCCCUAAAACAUGGUUUGUUAACAAGGUGUUCAGGAUCUUUGGAUCGAUGUUCACACGUGAGGUUGGCCUUGACUUUUCCUUUCUUCUAAUAAACUUUUCAAGUUUUGACAGUAAGGUUAUGCUGGCCACAUAAAGUGAGCUGUGACGUGUUCCCUCUUUUUCUGGGAGAGUUUGUGUGGGAAUAGCAGUAUUUCUUCCUAAAAUGUUGGUAAAAUUUGUUGCUGAAGCUAUGCAAGUCUGGCGUUUUCUCUGUGGAAGUUUUAAAGACUAAGUAUUUAAAAUAUUAUAAAAUUUUAUUUUGUGUGUUUUCUGCUUUUUUUCCCCUCCAGGAAUUUGUCUAUGUCAUCUACAAGCUCAAAUUUAUUAGCAUAAUAUAUUCACAAUAUUCUUUCAUGGACUUUUUUUUUUUUAAACAAUGGCACCUGAACAUCUGUUGCCAAUCUUCUUCUUUUU